UUAAAGAGGAAAUAAAUCAGGGUGAAUUUGAUCAAAUGAUUCCUGGAUUACAAACAGUCAACGACUCCUUUAAUAUCGGAUACAUGGAUUUUAUAUGUGGAGAGGGCUUGAAACCCAACUAUGAUACUGGAACAUGUCGAGCUUGUCCUACUGGAAGUAAAUAUGAUAAGACUAGCGAUACUUGUAAACCGUGUCCACUUGGUACUUAUCAACAAGAUGAAGCUUCAUCAUCUGACUGUAUGAACUGUCCACCUGAAAAAACAACAGUUCAAAUAGCUUCUACACACAUAGAUAACUGUACAGAGAUGUGUGAAGCUGGUAAAUAUUCUAAAACAGGAGUUGAACCUUGUACACAUUGUUCUCAGGGAACAUAUCAACCAAAUAUUAAUUCUACAGACUGUAUUAAAUGUUCCCUUGGUUUAAUAACAUCUUCUAGUGGAGCAACAGAUUUAUCUAGUUGUACAGCGUUUGAUUUGUUGAUAAGUGACAGACAGUGGAUUGAAUCGACACCAGUUUCAUCUUCAACAACUUUUGGCCAGUAUACCAUACUAGGUAUAUUGAAGAUUACCAAAAUAG